AACAGGAUUAGAUACCCUGGUAGUCCACGCCGUAAACGAUGUCGACUUGGAGGCUGUUCCCUUGAGGAGUGGCUUCCGGAGCUAACGCGUUAAGUCGACCGCCUGGGGAGUACGGCCGCAAGGUUAAAACUCAAAUGAAUUGACGGGGGCCCGCACAAGCGGUGGAGCAUGUGGUUUAAUUCGAUGCAACGCGAAGAACCUUACCUACUCUUGACAUCCAGAGAAUUUAGCAGAGAUGCUUUAGUGCCUUCGGGAGCUCUGAGACAGGUGCUGCAUGGCUGUCGUCAGCUCGUGUUGUGAAAUGUUGGGUUAAGUCCCGCAACGAGCGCAACCCUUAUCCUUUGUUGCCAGCACGUAAUGGUGGGAACUCAAAGGAGACUGCCGGUGAUAAACCGGAGGAAGGUGGGGAUGACGUCAAGUCAUCAUGGCCCUUACGAGUAGGGCUACACACGUGCUACAAUGGCGCAUACAAAGAGAAGCGACCUCGCGAGAGCAAGCGGACCUCAUAAAGUGCGUCGUAGUCCGGAUUGGAGUCUGCAACUCGACUCCAUGAAGUCGGAAUCGCUAGUAAUCGUAAAUCAGAAUGUUACGGUGAAUACGUUCCCGGGCCUUGUACACACCGCCCGUCACACCAUGGGAGUGGGUUGCAAAAGAAGUAGAUAGCUUAACCUUCGGGAGGGCGUUUACCACUUUGUGAUUCAUGACUGGGGUGAAGUCGUAACAAGGUAACCGUAGGGGAACCUGCGGCUGGAUCACCUCCUU
rnacentral:rRNA from 1 species